UUAACUAUUAUAUAGUACUCAGACGACACUAACAUUCAGAGUUUUGGGUCCUCUGGCGGGCGCUUACCAGCGUGAGCCGGUAGCCUGACCGGGGCCGGGCGGCCCGCCAAAGCAACAAAGGUAGCAAUAACACAGGGUGGGAGAUCUACCCGUGAGGGCACGAACUCUGUAAUGAUCCCUCCGCAGGUUCACCUACGGAGA
rnacentral:misc_RNA from 1 species